rnacentral:tRNA from 1 species
AAUUCUUUCGGACUUUUGAAAGUGAUGGUGGUGGGGGAAGGAUUCGAACCUUCGAAGUCGAUGACGGCAGAUUUAGAGUCUGCUCCCUUUGGCCGCUCGGGAACCCCACCACAGGUAAUGCUUUUACUGGCCUGCUCCCUUAUCGGGAAGCGGGGCGCAUCAUAUCAAAUGACGCGCCGCUGUAAAGUGUUACGUUGAGAAAGAAUU